rnacentral:ribozyme from 1 species
UGCCCAGCAAUUCCUAUCCCUACCUCCUCGUGGUACCGGCCGGAAACUAUGAGCAACCUUAGGGAAGAUCGGGUAACCACCCCCGGUGGGAUCUGUGGUCAGAGGCUGACGGGGGGGG